rnacentral:misc_RNA from 1 species
GAGAAACUAAAGCUAUCUGUGAAAGUACAAAAUGCACGGCUUAGCUUAAAAGAGUGAAUCCUUUCAUUCAUUUUUCUUGUUUCAAAUGCUUGUGAAUUUAGUUCUCAUUUAUGAGAAGCAUGAAGAUGAAAUGUACAUGGCCAGAAUUCAGCUAGCAUAUUUUUCUUCACCUCCAGUAAUUUUGGCGGAUCUAGGAUUUUCAUUAAGGAGGGUUCAUCACGAUGAAUUUUGAAGCCCUUCAACCAGUAUGUCAACCUUUAAUCUUAUGUUCCGAAGGUUCAUCACGAUGAAUUUUGAAGCCCUUCAACCAGUAUGUCAACCUUUAAUCUUAUGUUCCGAAGGUUCAAAAUCUAUAUAUAUACAUAAAAAUGUCAUAUGUAUCGUGUAAUUUUUUACUUUGG